rnacentral:rRNA from 1 species
GACGAACGCUGGCGGCGCGCUUAACACAUGCAAGUCGAGCGAAGCGGUGGACGGGUGAGUAACACGUGAGUAACCUGCCUUAGACAUUGGGAUAGCCUCGGGAAACCGGGAUUAAUACCAAAUGGUCUAAGAUGGACUCGAGUGCUAUUAGGUGGUUGGUGAGGUAACGGCGCACCAAGUCGACGAUGGGUAGCCGGCCAGAGAGGGUGAACGGGUACAUUGGAUCUGAGAAACGGUCCAAACUCUGCGGGAUGCAGCAGUGGGGAAUAUUGCACAAUGGAGGGAACUCUGAUGCAGCGACGCCGCGUGAACAAAGAAGGCUUUCGAGUCGUAAAGUUCUUUUAUAUGGGGAGCGGUACCAGAAGAAAAAGCCCCGGCUAACUACGUGCCAGCAGCCGCGGUAAUUC